AGCUGCACGACUGGCGGAACACAGUACAAAUACUGUAGUGGAGAUACCCACAGGGAGUGCGGAAUACUGAAAGCCGACCGCCUGGGCACC
rnacentral:ncRNA from 1 species